UACGUAGGGUGCAAGCGUUGUCCGGAAUUAUUGGGCGUAAAGAGCUCGUAGGCGGUUCGUCGCGUCGGCUGUGAAAACCUGAGGCUCAACCUCAGGCCUGCAGUCGAUACGGGCGGACUUGAGUACUGCAGGGGAGACUGGAAUUCCUGGUGUAGCGGUGAAAUGCGCAGAUAUCGGGAGGAACACCAAUGGCGAAGGCAGCUUGCUGGGACGGUACUGACGCUGAGGCGCGAAAGCGUGGGGAGCAAACAGG
rnacentral:rRNA from 1 species